UCCCGCGUUCAGCACCGCUGGGCGGGGUGGUGGUGCCCAGUGCCGGUGGGCUCUGUUCGGAUCCCGCCGGUCUCCAGGCACUGUCCUCCGCUGCCCGCGGGCAGCUGUGAGGGGAGGGAAGCGGAGGGGACUCUCUUCCCUCGGGGCUACCCGGCGGAAGGAUCGCGCGGAGGGCACGCUGUCUGGCGGUUCCACUGACACAGAUGGCCUCAAGUACCAGGGAAGCUGAGAUAUCUUCUCACAGCGCCAUUUACUCCUUUUGUCCUCUCACCUUAAGAACCGGACAGCUAAACUUGUGAGCGUUCAAAUCUUUUGUAAUGAUCAUGUUCACCGACGCUCUUUUGGACAGAAGAAAGGUUGUGGAUGUUACAGAAGUGACAUCCAUCCUUGCUUGCUGAAAAUCACCUGCCACCUCACCUGGAUACAGCUGUCUUUCGCUCCGAGUCCUUGCUAUCAGGGCCUGGCUUUUCUUCCACGGAAGGAGAUGGGAGCUUUGCCACGCCUCCAGUGACAGCAUGAGGAGAGCAGACACAGGUUAGGCAAGGUGUGCGAGGAUUUUCUGCAUGCUCUGUAAGUAUUUAGGGAACCGUGUGAUAUGUGAUCCUAAAGAUGAGGUUAGGCAGUUUGAACUUUUGAGUUAGACCCAGAUUACGUCCAGACAGGCAAAGCUAUCUUCUGACUGUACAUCUAAAUUAUUUCUUCUGGCAAGUAUCAGGAGUAUGUUAGUGAAAUGUGCCUGGAUAUAAUAGCUUAAGAUAGAGCUAUGCUGGAAAUGUUCCUGCAGCUGUUCCUUGGAAAACAUCUGUGGUACUGUGCAUGGAAAUUUGUACAUCUCUGUUCAUGCUAGCACAGAGCAAUUAAUCUCGUGGAACAAAGUAUAAAUUAUUAUCGGGAAAUAUGAGAAGGACAUUAUGCACCAGUGGACAUGAGAUGACUAAGGGUAGUUACCAUUUGGAAACAAAGGGAAAAAAUUGAAUAUUCCAUUUCUGGCAUGGGAAAUAAGAGGAAGAUUGGCAGACUCUACAGGACUUCCAGAACUCUGAUUGCUAGUUAUUUAUGUAAGAAUAACCAAUCCACAGAAUUUCACCCCUAGGGAGGAGUGAAAUUUUUUACACUUACAAUUGGAAAAAACCUUCCAUCUGUGAUAAUUUGACAGUCUGUGUUUGUAUAGUUUGAUAAAGGGAAGAAUAUACAGGUUGACAUGAUUUCUUAUUUAGAGAUAAUGGUUAUCCCUAUGCAAAGUAGAAAAGGCAUUGCCCUGGAGAACUCAAUUUUAGCUAAAGACAUACAAGGAGGGUAACUUAAAAAGCCCUGGGAUGGGACAGAGAGAUGUAUUUUGUUCACAGCAAGUUACAUAAUUCAGGUAUUUCUGAUCUCUUGAGGCUUUCAACUAAAGCCUGGGUCAUUAGAAGGUCUGCUUACCGAAAUGUAAUGGCCUGUUGUAUUUGAGAACUCAGGCUGGAUAAUCUGAAAAGUGAGUGUGUAAGGAAUUGAGAGCAGCACGAUGAGGAACAAGCUAGGGUAGAUAUCUGACUGCCGGCCAGCAAUUUGUCACUGACUGCUCCUGAGGCAGGGUUGCUGCUAAGAGCUGAUGAGGCUGUUAUGUUGCACUUAUGUUGCAUGUGUGACCUGUCAUGUCAUCUCCCAACGGCUAGGGAUGAUCUCCGUGGUACAGAACAUCCAUACUUGGCCAUUUUACUUGUUUUCUUUCAUGAUACUUGCAUUGCAUGAUGAAAAUCAGAAAUCAAGAUGGAAGUAUCUUCCUGUUGUUGUGUGGAUGCUUUCUGCAAAGGGUCUUCUGGCCUCUUGGUGUUUAAUCCAAAUUAUAUAAAAUGGAUUUGCACCCUGUUAAAUCUGAAAAUAAAUUUAAAAUAACCAUUCACAGUCCUCAUAACCAAAUGCCUCCUAGAAAAUCAUUUUACUCCACAGCUGCCUGGUUUUACAGUCAGAAAGGUGACUGCUCUUUUUUUCUUGGUUUAACUUUUAAUGACUAAUUUAAAUUCCAUUUAUGCAGAAUCCCUAUGAUUUUGAAAAUACCUUCUGAGAUUAUGCACAACUACCUUUCAAAAACAUACUUUGAAAAGCCUUAAGUACAACAUUGCCUAGAAUUAUCUUGUCAAUUAAAUAAAAGAACCCACUUGAAAUAAGUGACAAAAAUAUACAGUGGAUGAAAUGCACCUUCCAGUAACAAAUCGUUAUUAAAGGAGACCUUUAAGCAAACUGCUAGUUAUGUGGUCAUGCUUAGACAAGCACAAGGUUAUUGAAACAUACAGCUUCCUUUCAAGACAAUUUAACUUGCACUGAAGGCAAAUUAUUGCCAUAAAAGCACUGAAGCAUGUUGCUGAGGCAUUUGGUGCAAUUCUCUUGGCUUCUAAAAGGUUACCCUUGCUGCAUGAAGAUGUCAGUGGGAUCAGAAUUGAGUCUACAUCUUCAGCUGCCGUUGCCAAAGCUGCCUGCAACGUCUUCCUACAGAAAAUUACAUAUUAAUCUGAUAUUAUUAUCUAAAGAAGAUGGGAAGCAGUAUUUUAAUAGACUUGAAGAUGCAAUAUAGAUUUCUGACAAUAGUUAUAAUGGAAACAAGUGAGACUGAGCGGCUAACAAAGGACCUGCAAGAGGACUAAUACAGAGGGCACCUAAACCCACCGAGUGCAGAAAUCAUGAAUAAUAAUUGUAUUCAAUGGGUAAGUUAUAAAAUGUGUCACAGAUUUGGAGUCUUUCCUGGUUCUUUCCCUUUUCUCACUGAGGAGGUGGAAUUUGAACGAGGUGGAGCAACAACAACCUGUGGGCAACAAAACUGCCAGUAUUCUUGACGUGGCACUGGUGAAGUCACCCACCAAUGCCUUCCCCUUCUCAAUGUCUUUACAUGAGGGUUUGCACUGGUGGGGGUGUGGUUUCCUCUCCCUCUUCUCAUGCUGGAGCCAUGUCAAGGCCUGCAAAAGGAGAUUUGAUGACAUUACAGAAGUAGGAUGUGUUGGACACUGUGCUGGCAGGCUUGGCAGUCACCUCCUCAACACCACUCAGUCUCUUCAGCUCUGUCUAGAGAAGGGUCUUCAUGAAAACACAGGCAGAGAAUCAGCUUGCCAAAGAAUGCUGUUCACGCUCCAGCCAUUUCCUCACACUCCGUCAGUUCUGGGGAUUGUGGAUUGCUCUGGUUACCAAUAUACUGUACGUGGGCCCUACUCAGGGCCAUGAAAUAAUAGACAGGGGCCUAUUCACGGUGUUAUUUUCUGGAAGAAAAUCUUUUGCAUCUGUGAAAAUUCUCAGUGAAGACUUGGAAUUUCCUUCACAAAUCAAGCAAUGGAGUUCUUAGCUGUAUUUUACAAGUUUUAUGCUAGCUACUGUACAAGGAAUAAUAACAUUUUCUAGGAAAGAUCUGUUGUCCAGUAGA